rnacentral:rRNA from 1 species
UACGGGGGGGGCAAGCGUUUGUUCGGAAUUACUGGGCGUAAAGGGCUCGUAGGUGGCCAACUAAGUCAGACGUGAAAUCCCUCGGCUUAACCGGGGAACUGCGUCUGAUACUGGAUGGCUUGAGUUUGGGAGAGGGACGCGGAAUUCCAGGUGUAGCGGUGAAAUGCGUAGAUAUCUGGAGGAACACCGGUGGCGAAGGCGGCGUCCUGGACCAACACUGACACUGAGGAGCGAAAGCCAGGGGAGCAAACGGG